rnacentral:rRNA from 1 species
ACUGAACGCUGGCGGCAGGCCUAACACAUGCAAGUCGGACGGUAGCACAGAGAGCUUGCUCUUGGGUGACGAGUGGCGGACGGGUGAGUAAUGUCUGAGGAUCUGCCCGAUAGAGGGGGAUAACCACUGGAAACGGUGGCUAAUACCGCAUAACGUCGCAAGACCAAAGAGGGGGACCUUCGGGCCUCUCACUAUCGGAUGAACCCAGAUGGGAUUAGCUAGUAGGCGGGGUAAUGGCCCACCUAGGCGACGAUCCCUAGCUGGUCUGAGAGGAUGACCAGCCACACUGGAACUGAGACACGGUCCAGACUCCUACGGGAGGCAGCAGUGGGGAAUAUUGCACAAUGGGCGCAAGCCUGAUGCAGCCAUGCCGCGUGUAUGAAGAAGGCCUUCGGGUUGUAAAGUACUUUCAGCGGGGAGGAAGGCGGUGAGGUUAAUAACCUCGCCGAUUGACGUUACCCGCAGAAGAAGCACCGGCUAACUCCGUGCCAGCAGCCGCAGUAAUAC